rnacentral:lncRNA from 1 species
CCAUGGAAUCAGAUUCUGCUAGCAAAAUCUCAAAGGCAUCAGUUAGCCUUAAUUUGAAUGAUCAAACGAACUCAAGAAGAAGAAAGCAGCCCAAGUGGUUCAUUACUUUAAUCAUCUUUUUCAUUCUCAUCAUCGUCGCCGUUAUCUCUGUUUUAACAAUGAUUAAGCGAGAUUACGAAUCUGAAUUACCUGCCAAUAACCCAGAAAAGGCAAUCCAAUUCAUUUGCUCGCCGACUACACACUACCAGACAUGCUUUAAGUACAUGUCUAAUUCCCUCUACAAAAAUAAAAAAUUAGGAUCAACAAAAAUCAACUCAUCUCAAGUAUUCUCCAUCUCACUUCAUACCGUAAUCGGCGAGCUCCAGAAAGUCAGUUACUCACUCAAAUCGUCCGAUUCCUCUACUGAUCAGUCAACUGUAAGUCACUGCAACUAUCUGUAUUUCAACAAAUCACUGAGUCAAUUGAACAGUUAUUUGGCGAUCGAUGAAGAGAAAAACAUGACUAUGAGAUCUGAAAUGCUUGAUUGGCUCCAAACUGAAAGGCCCAAAAUUGCGAGAUGUUUGUAUUCGUUGGAGUUAGACAAGGGAUUGGACACAGAAAACGCGAACAAUUGCUUAAUGAUUCUGGUGAAUAUGAACAGCAUCUCUGAGAUGCUUAAUCCAUCGAUUAACUUUUUCACUUUAGAUCCAUUUCGAAGCUCGGGGAGAAGUACCGUCACUUUACUUUUCUCGGAUAGAGAAUUCGUGGAUACAGUUUGUAUUUUUGGCGUGCAGUUUAUUUUCUUGCUGUUUUUGGUUUGUAUUCUUUUACGUGUUUGGUAAUAAAUAAGCUGAUUACUCAAUUUUGAUGUACUAUGUGUUAUAGUUACUCUUUGUAUUCUCUAUUGAAUUCAGUAGUUUUAAUAUUUACUAUCUUCUCAUAGGAUUAUCAUACAAUUUAGAACAGAUGAAAUAAUCAAAUUUAAAUUUUAUCUAUAUUAUUUUAUCCAAAUUGGUUUUUGGUCUGUCGGCAAAUUAAAUUAAAUACUCGUAAAAUGAAAAAAAGAGUAGAACGUGCUAACAGUUAACAUUACCCAAAUUCUUAUCAACUCUUCAAACCGUGUCGUC